rnacentral:rRNA from 1 species
UACGUAGGGGGCUAGCGUUAUCCGGAAUGAUUGGGCGUAAAGCGUCCGCAGGUGGCUGUGUAAGUCUGCUGUCAAAGAGCGAAGCUCAACUUCGUAAAGGCAGUGGAAACUACACGGCUAGAGUGCGUUCGGGGCAGAGGGAAUUCCUGGUGUAGCGGUGAAAUGCGUAGAGAUCAGGAAGAAUACCUAUGGCGAAAGCAGGUAUCUGGGCCAUCACUGACGCUGAGCUGCGAAAGCUAGGGGAGCAAACAGG